rnacentral:lncRNA from 1 species
CGUUUUCGACGUUCUUUAUAUCCACGCGAAGGUCAGACCAUACUCUACAACUUUCAUUUAGACUCCGUCGGCUAAUUUUGACUUUUAUUUUUAUUAUUUAUUUUUAGAAGGCCGGGACAGAAAAACUUCGUUAUAAAUUCAUAACUUCUUCGUCUGACGUCCGUUCUCGCCUAACUUUUCAUCGUUUCGCUACUAACAACGAGAUCUUCGAUUCUCAUUUAGAUUGUUUCGGCUAAAAACCGCUCGAUCUCAAAUCGAGUAUUCGGGCUGCAUACUGCUAAGUCGAAACUUAGAAAAAUCAUAACUUCCUCAUACGAAGUCAGAUUUGGGCGUUCCUUUUAUGCACGCUCUCGGUUUAACGAAAUCUACGACUUUCGUUUAGAUCGCUAAGGCUAAAUAUCGCUCUAUCUUAAAUUCAUAUUUUACGUCACUCGACGUCGUGCCGGUUCUGUCGCGAAACUUCGACAGGUCAUAACUUCUUCGUUAUAACUCGGAUUUUGGCAUUCCUUAUAUCUCCGGAAUCCUUGUUUCAACCACUACAACUUUAUGCAAAGAUAUCGGGCUUAUCUCACACUUUAAUUUUGACGCUUAUUUUAUUCUUAAUUCAUUAAAUUAUAAUAAUUAAGAAAAUAAACACAUAAAUCACAUAAUUCACAUAAUUCACAAAUAAUACAUUUUUAUUAUUUCAAAUUGGGGUUACAAAGGUUAACCUAGACUAUUACAUUGCUAAAAAUGGCAAGCCCAGAAACACGGGCGUUACAAUUCUCUCCACCUUAGAAUGAUUCCGUCCCCGGAAUCACACACCAGCAAACAAAUGCGGAUAGCGACUCAUCAUGUCACUCUCCGUCUCCCAGGUGAGAUUCGGCCCAUUCGUGUGUUUCCAUCGGACAAGCACUAACUCAACCAUCUUACGUCGCAAUUUCUUAGUCUUUCGGUCAACGAUUGCCUCCGGUUCCUCAAUCAACCUUUUGUUCUCAUCGAUCCUCAACUCCGAAAGUGGAAUUAUGUCGGGAACUUCUCCCAUGAACUUCCUCAAGUAACACACAUGAAAAGUGUUAUGAAUUCCAUUCAGUUCUUCUGGUAGUUCGAGCUUGUAAGCUUGGUUCCCAAUCCUCUGAAGAACUUUAAACGGUCCAAUAAACCUUGGACUUAACUUUCCCCUUUUACCAAAUCUUAUAAGUCCCUUCCACGGCGAGACUUUAAGCAAAACCGAAUCUCCAACUUCAAAAGUCAUCGGUCUUCGCUUUUUGUCAGCAUAGCUCUUUUGACGGUCCUGAGCUGCUAACAUUCUUUCCCUAAUUAUUUUCAACUUUUCAGCCGUUUGAUGGACUAUCUCCGGUCCCAUAAACUGCUUUUCCCCAGCCUCAAGCCAACAAGACGGCGUACGACACUUCUGUCCAUACAAUGCUUGAUAAGGUGCCAUCUUUAUGCUCGAGUGAAAACUAUUAUUAUAGGAAAAUUCUACCAAAGGUAAAUGUUCAUCCCAAUUACCUAGGAAUUCCAAGGUACACGCUCUCAGCAUAUCUUCAAGUGUUUGUAUCGUUCUUUCACUCUGACCAUCAGUCUGCGGAUGGUAAGCUGUACUUAAACACAACUUGGUACCCAAUUCCUCUUGUAGACUUUUCCAAAAUCGUGAGGUGAAACGACUGUCACGAUCCGACACAAUCGUUAACGGAACACCGUGAAGCCUCACAAUUUCCUUCACGUAAGAAUUCGCAAGCUUUUCCAUAGACCAUUUCUCGUUGGCUGCUAUGAAAUGCGCACUCUUAGUGAAUCGAUCAACGACCACCCAAAUCAUGUCGUGACCACUUUUUGUUCUGGGUAGUUUAGUGACAAAAUCCAUAGCAAUGUCUUCCCACUUACCCAUAGGCACAGGUAAUGGUUCUAAACUCCCGUAUGGUUUCUGAUGUUGUGCCUUGACUCUUGCACAGGUCACACACUCGGCCACAUACUUCGCAAUGUCGAGCUUCAUCGUCGGCCACCAAUAAUAGGGUUUCAGGUCCCUAUACAUUUUUGUGCUACCGGGAUGAAUCGAGUACAUGGUUUUGUGAGCUUCUUCCAUCAGAAGAUCUCUGACUCCUCCUGUCUUAGGUAUCCAAAUCCGAUCUUGGAACACCUUCAGUCCGUGACUGUUUACACCGAACACCAACGUUUUGCCCAAACGUUCCUCCUUUCGGUCAUUUUUCUCAGAAGCUUCGCUUUGAGCUUUCUUUAUACUUUCCAAAAUAGUCGAGACAACUUCAAUUCUCAACGCUCUUGGCCUUUUCUUUUCAAGAUUGACCUUCCGACUGAGAGCAUCAGCAACAAUAUUGGCCUUACCGGGGUGGUAAAGUAUCUCACAGUCGUAGUCCUUAAGUAAUUCCAGCCAGCGUCGUUGCCUCAUAUUCAAUUCUUUCUGACUAAAGAGAUAUUGGAGACUCUUAUGAUCAGUGAAAAGUUUGCACUUCGUGCCAUAGAGGUAAUGCCUCCAUAUUUUCAGUGCGAAAACUACCGCUGCCAACUCCAAAUCAUGAGUCGGGUAGUUCUUUUCGUGCUCUUUCAGCUGUCGAGACGCAUAUGCGAUCACCUUAUCCCUUUGGGUCAAAACGCAACCCAAUCCAACCCCAGACGCAUCGCUAUAAACAGCGAAGUCUUCAACCCCAUCGGGUAGAGAAAGUAUCGGUGCCUCGCAUAGUUUCUUCUUUAGCUUCUCGAAUGCUUCUUUAUGCUUAUCACUCCAAGCAUAAGUAGCUCCUUUGUGGGUCAAAGCUGUUAAUGGACUAGCGAUCGAAGAAAAGCCUUGGAUAAACCUUCGGUAAUAUCCGGCUAAUCCUAAAAAGCUUCGGAUCUCCGUGGGACUUUUCGGUUGUUCCCACUUCAUCACAGCUUCGAUCUUCGCUGGAUCAACCAUUAUCCCUUCUUGGUUGACCACGUGACCCAAGAAUUGGACUUCACGAAUCCAGAAAUCACAUUUGGAGAACUUCGCAUACAACUUCUCCUUCUUCAAGACUUCCAACACUUCUCGCAAGUGUCUGCCAUGCUCCUCUUGGCUUUUUGAAUAAAUCAGAAUGUCAUCAAUGAACACUAUCACAGAUUUAUCAAGGAACGGAUUACAAACUCUGUUCAUUAAAUCCAUGAAUGCUGCUGGAGCAUUGGUUAGUCCAAACGACAUAACCAAAAACUCGUAGUGUCCAUAUCGCGUUCUGAAUGCAGUUUUCUCUAUAUCCUGCUCCGUUACUUUCAGCUGAUGAUAUCCUGACCUCAUGUCGAUCUUUGAGAAAUAACUUGAACCUUGUAGUUGAUCGAAUAGGUCAUCAAUCCUCGGCAACGGAUAUCGAUUCUUUAUUGUUGCCUUAUUCAGCUCUCGGUAAUCAAUGCACAUCCUCAUGCUUCCAUCUUUCUUCUUUACGAAUAACACCGGAGCUCCCCAGGGUGAUGAACUAGGUCUAAUGAAACCUUUGUCCAAUAACUCCUGAAGUUGCAUCAUUAGCUCCUUCAUCUCCGUCGGUGCUAAUCGAUAAGGUGCUUUUGCAAUUGGCGUUGUUCCGGGCAACAAGUCGAUACGAAAUUCUACUUGUCGAUCGGGCGGUAAUCCAGGAAGAUCUUCGGGAAAUACUUCCGGAUAAUCACACACAACAGGAAUAUUUUGCAUCACCUUCUUUUCCUUCUUAGCAUCGAUCACGAAUGCUAAGUAUGAUGUACACCCCUUGGUCAAACAUUUUCUGGCUUUCAUUAGAGAAAUGAUUCCAGAGUUUACUCUGCGUUUAUCUCCGUACACCAUAAACGAUUCCUUCCCAGGCGGGUUCACUUUCACUAUUUUCUUCUUGCAUAAAAUUUCGGCAUCAUUGGCGCUAAGCCAAUCCAUUCCCAAAACGAUGUCGAAACCGUUAAGUUCGAUAGGCAAUAAUUCCUCGUGGAACUUAUUUCCAUUCAGAUCAAUUAAGAUGUUUUUCAUACGAUGGCUAACAGGUACAAACUUGCCACUAGCAACUUCGACUAAUAAAGCAUUAUCUAGUCUAUCAACAGGCAAAGCUAGUUUUCUACCAAAUUCAUGCGAUAUAAAGGAGUAGUUGGCUCCAGAAUCAAAUAAAAUUUGGGCAGGCAAUUUGUUAACGAGAAAGGUACCUGAAGCGACAUCAGCUUCAUCUUUAGCAGCUUCCAGUGUCAUCUGGAAUGCUCUCGCCUUUGGCUUUGGCGGAAUGUUGGGUCUUGCUGCUUCCUUCUUUUUCGGACAAUCCCUUGAGAUGUGCCCCUCCUCACCACAACCAUAACAAACAUUCUUGGUGAAGGUGCAGUCAUUGGCAUAAUGCCCUAGCUUUCCACAUUUGAAGCAUGUGGUUUCCCCGCCACACUUCCCAUAAUGCUUCUUCUUGCACUUGUCACACCAUUUCGCUUCUACCUUUCCUCCACUUCCCCUCGAACUAGACUUCGAGAAUUUACUUUUCUUGCUGGACCCUGAAAAUCCAUCGAUUUUCCUUUUCUCGCCAACCUCUGACCUUUCCAGACCUUUUUCCCUGAUCUGGGUCUCAACAUUUCUAGCAGCCCAGAUGGCGGCUUUCAAUGUGGUUGCUUGCUUAACCAUUGGACCAUAGUCCGCUGGUAGUCCAAGGGCAAACUUGUUGACCUUAGAGAGUUCUGUAGGCACCAAAUAUGGGAUAAACUUCAUCUUUUCUGUGAAACUUGCAGCGUAUUCAGUAACGCUCAAUUUCCCUUUCUUCAAAUUCUGAAACUCAUUACUGAUUUCCAGAAGGUCCUGCUCGGAGCAGUAUUGCAUUUUUAGUUGUUCCACAAAGUCUUCCCAAGACAUUUUGCUUGCUUCUCCCUUGGGCAUAGAGUCAGCUAACAGCUUCCACCAACUCAACACGCCAGAUUUUAGCAGAGGGAUCGCAAGAGCGGUCUUCUGCCUGUUGCUGCAUUCGCAACUUUCAAACAUAGUCUCCAUUUCGGAGACCCAGUCCAUAACUUGCACCGGCGUCGGGCUUCCGGAUAGACAUGGUGGUUUGGAUGCCAUGAAAUCCUUAUACUUGCACCCACGACCAUCAUUUCCUCCAUACUGGUUAUUGCGUCUAACCACUGGUUGUUCGUCUUGACCAAUGAUCCCACUAAAGUUUUCUCCUUCAGACUGCCCUCCAUUCUCCUCGGGCUCUUCCGCUUGAAUUGACGGUUCUUCACGAUUCUGCCUAAGCAGGCGUCUUGUUUCUUCCAUCUGACGAUCCAACAUCAUUUGAAUCAUCAUUUGUACACCAGCCAUUGUUAUCGGCUCAGGUGCAUCAGCUACAACAGGUACUUGUUGAAUUACAGGCGGUUGAUUCCUGUUUUCAUCAGCAUUUCCAACUCCGCUUCUUGUUCUCACCAUUUUUGAUCUACACACCGAAUAAUUUCACCUUAUUACUCCAAACGAUUACAUGCUAGUUCUAAUAUCGUAUACAUACGCUUAGAAUCCUAAACACAUAAACCUUCAGAUCCGGUUGGCAACAAACCGUAGAUCCGAACAAAUAAUAUCAUAUAUGGCAACAUAUAACAUUUAGCACAUAAAAGCAUUUUAGGCAACUUUCCUAAAAUAAACUAGUGCUCGUGUCUAAAAUUUAUCAGACACACAUCUCACAAUCUCCACUUAGCAUACUAAGUUUAAGUCUAGAAAUCCUACAAAUUCCUAGUUCGCUUAAACUAAUGCUCUGAUACCAACUGUGACAUCCCCAAAAUCUCGGCCAGAAAAGACCGAUUUCAUUUAUGCUUUUUAAACAUUUUCAGAGUAAAUCCGUUUGAUUUUAAAAGAGAUGCGGAAUUUGUUCCCAAAAACAAAACAUGAUAAAAUAGAUAUUUAUCAAAACAUUUCAUAUAGAAAUAUGAUUUCAUUUCAUAAUCAAAAGUCGGGAUGUCAUGUUCCGAUAUAGAUCAUAAAGCAUAAACGAUGACAUUACAAGUCGUUCAACAAAUAUAUACAUAUGCAGACUUGUAAACAAAAACAACUUGAUGAUUCGCCCAUCUUAAGCUCUUGCGCCACUUCCUGUAAUACAAAUCAACUGAGUGGGUCAGGCUUGGGAGCCUGGUGAGCAUAUAGGGUUUUCAAACCCACAAUAAUUAUAUUUAAUUACAACAAUCAACAAUAAACCCGAUUACCCAUUCCCGUUAUCCUCACCUUACGUUCCUAAAAAUAACGUCUAUUAUAAGGAACUUAUUUCAGGAUUUUCAUCGGGACGGACAUUACUGCAGAGGGGCUUCCUCAACAAUAAGUGUCCUAAAGGCAACCAUGUGGGGGAUAGAGUACACCGGUGAACACGUCGUUCACAACACCUACAGGUAAUGAGCCUGCUAGUGUUCCACAGGACAGUCUAGAAUAGUCCGUGGUCGUCAUCCAUACUCUGCUGAAUGACUAGAAUAACACCAAUAACACCGAGGCCUCUCAUCUGUUUAUUACACACCAAUUAUCUACCCAUGUUCUACCCAACAUAUUAGUAGAUAAAAAUAUACAUUUUUAUACAUUGUUUAAAAACCUGUAUAGCAUGCUUUAAUCAAUACAUAUUCCACAUAACAGAUGAGGCAUACACACAUAACACGUAUUUCAUAGAGAAUAUACAUUCACACAUAUAACCACAAAAUAUAUACACGUAGCACGUAUUUUAUAUUAAAUACUUCAUAAUAUUGCGUUGGAGAGAAAAUAACUACACACUCACUUGAUCAGAAGAUGAUCCGACAGUACUACGGCUUAUAGAAGUAGCGUCUCUCCGUAGAUCUGGAAGAUCUUCACAAAAACCGGCUCCUCGCGGGCAGGGCUUCGGCUCGGGAAUAACGCUCUUCGGGAUUCUCGGGGCUUCGGAUCUCGCUUCGGGGCUCGGGAAUAAUACCGGGGCUUCGGGGUAUAAUCGGCACGCAAAUCGAGGCAAAAGAGCUAGAGAGAAUGAGGAAUUUGCAAAAGAAAAGAAGCUGCUUCGGACCUCCUUUUAUAGCCUGAUCCUCGGGGUUACGCGGGGCGUAACUUCGGGGGUACGCGGGGCGUAGUGCUUCGCAGAUCGUCAGCGCUUACGUCACCGGUCCAUCUUCGUCAUUGCAUACGACUCACUACUCCGUAGAACUCGAGUGCCCCUCGCUGUACGCGGGGCGUACAGCAGUACGCGCUGCGUACUUCGGAUAGACCGCCUCAUCCUUCUUCGGAUAAUAUCGGAGUUAAAUAAAAAUAAAUAUUAAAUAUUUAUUAAACUUCAAAAAUUCAUAUCUCCUUCAUACGAACUCCGUUUUCGACGUUCUUUAUAUCCACGCGAAGGUGAGACUACGCUCUACAACUUUCGUUUAGACUCCGUCGGCUAAUUUUGACUUUUAUUUUUAUUAAUUAUUUUUAGAAGGCUCGGACAGGAAAACUUCGUUAUAAAAUCAUAACUUCUUCGUCCGACGUCCGUUCUCGCCUAUCUUUUCAUCGUUUCGCUACUAACAACGAGAUCUUCGAUUCUCAUUUAGAUUGUUUCGGUUAAAAACCGCUCGAUUUCAAAUCAAGUAUUCGGGCUGCAUACUGCCAAGUCGAAACUUAGAAAAAUGAUAACUUCCUCAUACGAAGUCAGAUUUGGGCGUUCUUUUUAUGCACGCUCUCGGUUUAACGAAAUCUACGACUUUCGUUUAGACUGCUAAGGCUAAAUAUCGCUCUAUCUUAAAUUCAUAUUUUACGUCACUCGGCGUCGUGCCGGUUCCGUCGCGAAACUUCGACAGGUCAUAACUUCUUCGUUAUAACUCGGAUUUUGGCAUUCCUUAUAUCUCCGGAAUCCUUGUUUCAACCACUACAACUUUAUGCAAAGAUAUCGGGUUUAUCUUACACUUUAAUUUUUGACGCUUAUUUUAUUCUUAAUUUAAUUAUAUCACAUAAUUAAGCAAAUAAACACAUAACUCACAUAAUACACAAAUUCACAAAUAAUACAUUUUAUUAUUUCAAAUUGGGGUUACAAUGGUUAACCUAGACUAUUACAUUGCUAAAAAUGGCAAGCCCAGAAACACGGGCGUUACACUCACCCCACACUGCCACUAUUGGAUUCUGGCACUGCUAAUAGGAGUCAACGGUGCUUACAUCACCAACAAGCAUAUACCAUUUUCCAUGAUACUUGGGAC